CGCGAAGGCAAGCGGAUCUCUUAAAGCUGUUCUCAGUUCGGACUGCAGUCUGCAACUCGACUGCACGAGGCUGGAAUCGCUAGUAAUCGCGGAUCAGCACGCCGCGGUGAAUACGUUCCCGGGCCUUGUACACACCGCCCGUCACACCAUGGAAGUCUGCAAUGCCCGAAGCCGGUGGCCUAACCACUUAUGUGGAAGGAGCCGUCUAAGGCAGGGCAGAUGACUGGGGUGAAGUCGUAACAAGGUACC
rnacentral:rRNA from 1 species